rnacentral:rRNA from 1 species
UAAUAAUAAAAUUUUAUUUUUUUUAAAAAGAUGUUUAUUUAUUUUUAAAAUUAUUUUUUUUUUGUUUUUGUACUUGUUAAUGAAGUAAUUAUUUUAAUUAUAAUGAAUUUAUACUGUAGAGGUUUAAAUAUAAAUAUAUAAUAAGUUGAAUUAAUUUUUUGUACCUUGUGUAUCAGGGUUAAUUAAAAAUUAAUUAUUAAUUUUAAUUAUCUCGAUUUUGUUGGAGUUAAUAAAUUAUUUAAGUUAUUGUCUUACAAAUAUUUAUAAUGAUUUAUUGGGAAUGAAAUGUUAUUCGUCUAUAAAGAUAUCUAGUUUUUUUGGAAAUAAAUUUAAUUUAUAUAUUAUUCUUUUUAAUAUAAUUUUUAUUAUAUUUUUGUAUAAUAUAAUUAUUAAAGGGGAUAAACUCUUUAAUAAAAAUUUAUAAAGUAUUUGGAUUUAAAUUUUCGUGGAUUUAAUAAUAAUAAUUGAUUUAAGUUUUUUAUAAUUUUAAUUUAAUAAUUUAUUGGAAUUUUAAUAUUUUUAUUUAAUAAUACUGAAAAUUUUUAUUUAAUUAAUAAUUAAUUUUUAUAAUGAUUAAAUUAGUAUAGAAUUAUUAUAAAAUUCUGAGAAGUAAUUUUUAGGAAUUAGGCAAAGUAUUUAUUCACCUGUUUAUCAAAAACAUCUUUUCUUGUUUUAAUAUGAAAUAAUACCUGCCCAAUGAAUUAUAAUUUAAAUGGCCGCGGUAUAUUGACCGUGCAAAGGUAGCAUAAUAAUUAGUCUUUUAAUUAAGGGCUAGAAUGAAUGGUUAAAUGAAAUAAAAUCUAUCUUGGAUUUAAUGUUUGAAUUUAAUUAUUAAGUUAAAAAGCUUAAAUUUUUUUAUGGGACGAUAAGACCCUAUAGAAUUUAAUAAUUUUUUGUUAAUUUUAGUAUGUAACUUAUGUUUAAUUAGAAUUAUUUUGUUGGGGUGAUGUUAAGAUAAUAGUAACUCUUAAUAGAUUAUAAAUAUAAAUAUAUAUAAAUUAUUGAUCCAUUAAUGUUGAUUAUAAGAUUAAAUUACCUUAGGGAUAACAGCAUAAUCUUUUUUAAGAGUUCAAAUUGACAAAAAGGAUUGUGACCUCGAUGUUGGAUUAAGAUUAGAUUUUUGUGUAGAUGCUAUUUUUCUAAGUCUGUUCGACUUUUAAUUUCUUACAUGAUCUGAGUUCAAACCGGUGUAAGCCAGGUUGGUUUCUAUCUAUAAUUAAUAAUAAAUAUUUUAGUACGAAAGGACCAAAUAUUUAAAAUAAUUUUUAUAGAAUUGAUUUUAAUUAAUAAAU